AGAGUUUGAUCCUGGCUCAGAACGAACGCUGGCGGCAGGCCUAACACAUGCAAGUCGAGCGCUCUCCUUCGGGAGGGAGCGGCGGACGGGUUAGUAACGCGUGGGAAUAUACCCUUCACUACGGAAUAGCCAUUGGAAACGAUGAGUAAUACCGUAUACGCCCUUUUGGGGAAAGAUUUAUCGGUGAAGGAUUAGCCCGCGUUAGAUUAGAUAGUUGGUGGGGUAACGGCCUACCAAGUCGACGAUCUAUAGCUGGUUUGAGAGGAUGAUCAGCAACACUGGGACUGAGACACGGCCCAGACUCCUACGGGAGGCAGCAGUGGGGAAUCUUGGACAAUGGGCGCAAGCCUGAUCCAGCCAUGCCGCGUGAGUGAUGAAGGCCUUAGGGUCGUAAAGCUCUUUCACCAGGGAUGAUAAUGACAGUACCUGGAAAAGAAACCCCGGCUAACUCCGUGCCAGCAGCCGCGGUAAUACGGAGGGGGUUAGCGUUGUUCGGAAUUACUGGGCGUAAAGCGCACGUAGGCGGAUCAGAAAGUAUGGGGUGAAAUCCCAGGGCUCAACCCUGGAACUGCCUCAUAAACUCCUGGUCUUGAGUUCGAGAGAGGUGAGUGGAAUUCCGAGUGUAGAGGUGAAAUUCGUAGAUAUUCGGAGGAGCACCAGUGGCGAAGGCGGCUCACUGGCUCGAUACUGACGCUGAGGUGCGAAAGCGUGGGGAGCGAACAGGAUUAGAUACCCUGGUAGUCCACGCCGUAAACGAUGUCAACUAGCCGUUUGUGGACUUGAUCCGUGAGUGGCGCAGCUAACGCACUAAGUUGACCGCCUGGGGAGUACGGCCGCAAGGUUAAAACUCAAAUGAAUUGACGGGGGCCCGCACAAGCGGUGGAGCAUGUGGUUUAAUUCGAUGCAACGCGAAGAACCUUACCAUCCCUUGACAUCCAGAGAAGCGACUAGAGAUAGACGUGUGCCUUCGGGAACUCUGUGACAGGUGCUGCAUGGCUGUCGUCAGCUCGUGUUGUGAAAUGUUGGGUUAAGUCCCGCAACGAGCGCAACCCCUAUCCUUAUUUGCCAGCGCGUUAUGGCGGGAACUCUAAGGAGACUGCCGGUGAUAAACCGGAGGAAGGUGGGGACGACCUCAAGUCAUCAUGGCCCUUACGAGUAGGGCUACACACGUGCUACAAUGGCGCAUACAAAGGGUUGCGAAGCCGCGAGGUCGAGCCAAUCCCAAAAAGUGCGUCGUAGUCCGGAUUGGAGUCUGCAACUCGACUCCAUGAAGUCGGAAUCGCUAGUAAUCGUAGAUCAGAAUGCUACGGUGAAUACGUUCCCGGGCCUUGUACACACCGCCCGUCACACCAUGGGAGUGGGCUGCAAAAGAAGUGGCUAGUUUAACCUUUCGGGGAGGACGGUCACCACUUUGUGUUUCAUGACUGGGGUGAAGUCGUAACAAGGUAACC
rnacentral:rRNA from 1 species